CAAACGUUGAAGCAAGUGUAGAGGCCAGUGCUGGGGCAGGGUGGGGAAUGUGAUUCCCAGAGGAAAGCAAACCACACCAGAAACCAGACGAGCAGCCAGAGGUCAACACAGGCGGGACAGGGCAGGGGCCGGCUUCUGUGGCGGUGUGGAAGCCUGCCCUCCCAGACCCGCAGGAGGGAGAGCGCCAGGGAGGGCAGGCCUGGAGGAGGCGCCAGGCCCAGAGAGAGCUGGGCUGGGCAGGCCACCGGGCAGGGGCUUCCGCGCUGAGGCAGGGAAGGGGGGGAGGCGGGGAGGGACGGAGACCCCGCCCCUCAGAACCAGCUCUGGCCGGUCCGCGGCCUCCGACCCACCUGUACCGCUCUUUUGGACACCUCCGCCCCCCUUCAAAAGUUUGGACCAUUUCAUCGCUCUUCUAGUGAGUAUCACCAGGUUCCCCUCCUCUCUUGAUGAGGGUCAGGAUCCGGCCUCACUCCCUGCCACACACUUUCUCACAACUGCCUGAAGAGCAGCAUGGCCUUGGCUCUGAUGCCCCCGCAGGAAACCCAGGCCACAGGACACAUGCACUUGGGCUUGAGCGUGAUGGCGGUACCCCUGGCAGGUGUAUUGGGGCCAGAUGACACGGGAGGACCGGCAUCCUGUGUGGGGGCAAGCGAGGUAAGAGCGGCCAGCCCAGGAAGUAGGGGAGGGAAGAGGAUGAGGAGGCCCAGGUGGCCAGGAUGGCAGCGGCCAGAGGGCAGGAAGCAGAGGGCUGCCGGCCCAGGGUCUGCCUGAGCCUCCGCUUGGGAACAGGAGGUAGUGCGCACUGUGCCCUCCAACUACCUCUGUCCACAUGCCCAGGGCUGAGUUCCCUGGGCACCCUCCCUGCCAGAACCCUUCCCUCAGAGCUGGCAGCCAGAGCGCUGAGCCGUCCUCCCUGGAGACCGCGCAGGCUGUCACUCGCCAGGUACCACCAUGGCCCCCUGCCACGUCCCCAAGUUUCUGUGCAGGCCGAGCCUCAGCAGGGGAGGUGGGUGGACACCCCAGCGACACUGCCCAGACGGGGACCCUGACCCAGAGAGCAGCCGUGGGAGCCCGAGGCUGCAUUUCUGCCGAGCCCCGGAUGUGGGUGCUGGUCCCCAGCCGGGGCCUGUACCACAGCGUGACCCCACAUUCAGCGAGGGCUGCGGGGGUCGACUGAUUCAGUUGAAAAGAGCUGGAGAGAUGUGACCACCAGAUGCAACAUGGCCACACCCCGGAAGACCCUGCGGUGGCGGGGGUGGGGGCGGGGGGCGAGACUGGGCGAGGACUGGGAGGCAGACGGACAAGGGAACAUUAGUGACGCUGGUGUGUCCCGGUAGUGAGGUGGUGUGUGUGUGUGUGCGCACGCAUGUGUGUGUGUGUAUUACUGGGGGCUGACACAGCUGAGCCCUGGGAAACAGUGGAGGUUAACACGCCCCCUGUGUGUCCUGCUAAAGAGAUCCCCACGGGGAGCCCUCUCCUGGGGUGCAGGUGAGACUUGGGGUCCCCUGCUUAUCCGGGACCAGCCAGACUCUGCCCCCUACACCCCUCCUUUGCUCCAGCAGUCAUGAGCUGGACUGUUUUCGCCUCGCAGGGCGGGUCGGCUCCCACCGCUGAGCCUGCGGGCCACCAGCCCGCUGUCUCACCUACCUUACUGUGCCCCGUGAAGCAAGCCUCCCAUGGCCUAGCUCCAGAGAAGCUUCCAGACCUCACUAUGGCAGUAGCCCCAUCCCUUUGAAUUAAAGUACUAAGUCCAGAUAUGUUUUCUAUUUGACUAAAGAAGAGUAUUGAUGGGUAAAAUAAUAUGAGGUUUGGAGUUGGCAUUAGAUUCAUUCCAGAAGAGAGAAAAAAGAUGGGCGAAUGGAGCCAUGGCCGAACCAGGAAGCCGGGCACUGGGUACACGGAGCGGUUUUCUGUUCUGAAAGUUUCCAUAAUGCUGUGUGCAACCAGUAAAGCAGUAAUGCCCUCCCCACAGGGGGCAGAACUGGCCCUGCGGCCUUGGCCCCCCACCAGCCCACUGUGGCCUGCUCGGAGGUCAGUGCACCGCCAGCCACCUGGAGGAUCCUGAGGCUCUCACUCCUGCCGUCCCCAUGAAGCCAGAAGGGACAUGUGCAGAUAUUAUUAGAGAGGCGGGGUGCUAUGGGGUCUCCAGUGACCCCAUGAAAUGCCCACAACUCUGAGUCUGAGCGGCCACCUUCCUGGAGCGAGUGUGGGGCCCUGUCCCAAGGUUACCGUCAUCAGACACUACACAUUCCUCCAGUCCCCGCAGGGGGGGUCCAGCCCAGGAGUGUGAGUGAAAUCAUUGCCUUGGGACAGCCCAGGUGCACCAGGCUGUGGGGCCACUUGACAAGAGCCUUUCUCUUUGGGGAAAUGUCACCCUCUGGAGACUGUCAUGGGUGAGAAUGCAGUCCCCCAGGCCAUGCAGGUCCCCUGCCCAGUUUCUGGGGGUGUGACCCCGGCCAGGCUCGUCCUCUUGGACAUGUCUCCUUCUCCCCAGCAGGAGCCGGAAGGGGCUCAGUCAUUGUCUGGCAUGUGGACUGUGCUCAGCAAACCCCGGGCCUCUUGUUCCCGUCCCAGCCUCCCAGGCUCAGGUGCCUCACACGCGAUUUUUCCUCCGAGGGCAGGUUGUGAGUGCCCCGCAGGAAGUCACCCCAGACCCUUCAGUGACGUCCUCUGCAGAAGAAAAACAGGUUUUGGAAGAGGGCAGGUCCACUGAGCAGGGAGCCCUGCAAUUAUAGCCUGAGCUGGCGUUUCCAGUUCUUCCAGCACAGGCGUGGAAUGCAGCUGUUCUGUGGGCUCUGGGCAUCGGAGAAACUCACGAUUUGUUUUCAGAGAUCAUUUUGAGGGAGUGUUCCUUAUAAGCAAGUUUUAUUUUGUAACAAGAUUAAAUGCACAUUUUAAAGAACAAAAACUGUGAUACAACCUAAUCUUACAAAACGCUCAGGGACGCUGCGGGAGGGGAGGCGCAGGAAGCACCCCGUCCCCAGGAAGCCGAGAAACCGGGGGUCCUGCCUCCACCUGCUCCACCAGACAGACGGACGAACAGACAGUCUCAGGAAGGGUGGGAGGGUACCAGGCUGGGACAGGCACACACUGUCGCUCGUCCCCAGCCUUCCUUCUCCUGUCCUCCCUUCUGUGCUAGAACCCCGUUUUUGUGCCGACAGAGCAGGCCUCUGUGACAAAGAACCACAGCCCGGCCGCUAGACAGCACCCGUGCUCACGUAGUCUUGGAGCCUGCAGGUCCGAGGGCUGGUUCCCAAUGUGCCAUUCUCCUGGGUUGGAUCUCCAAACGCAGUCACAUUCAAAAAUAUUUCUACUGCUGAGAAAUGAAAGCACUGACAACUCUGGGACUUCAGGGGCGCCUGGGAGGCUCAGCUGGGUGUCCGACUGCGGCUCAAGUCAUGGUCACAUGGUCCGUGAGUUCGAGCCCCGCGUCAGACUCUGUGCUGACAGCUCGGAGCCUGGAACUGCUUCGGAUUCUGUGUCUCCCCCUCUCUCUCUCUGCCCCCAUUCAUGGUCUGACUCUCAAAAAUGAGUAAAUGUUAAAAAUAAAAUUUUUUUUAA